GACGAACGCUGGCGGCGUGCCUAAUACGUGCAAGUCGAGCGAAGUUUUUCUGGUGCUUGCACUAGAAAAACUUAGCGGCGAACGGGUGAGUAACACGUAAAGAACCUGCCUCAUAGACUGGGACAACUAUUGGAAACGAUAGCUAAUACCGGAUAACAGUAUUUCUCGCAUGAGAGAUAUUUAAAAGUUGGUUAUGCUAACACUAUGAGAUGGCUUUGCGGUGCAUUAGCUAGUUGGUGGGGUAAAGGCCCACCAAGGCGACGAUGCAUAGCCGACCUGAGAGGGUGAUCGGCCACACUGGGACUGAGACACGGCCCAGACUCCUACGGGAGGCAGCAGUAGGGAAUCUUCCGCAAUGGGCGAAAGCCUGACGGAGCAACGCCGCGUGAGUGAAGAAGGAUUUCGGUUCGUAAAGCUCUGUUGUUAGGGAAGAAUGGAUAUGUAGUAACUAUACAUGUAAGAGACGGUACCUAACCAGAAAGCCACGGCUAACUACGUG
rnacentral:rRNA from 1 species